CUGCAGUACCUGCCAGACCUGUGCCUGUUCUGGAAAAUGUUGGGAGUGUGUGAGAACCAUGAAUUACAGCAGUGCCAGUAUGUACCAUGUAGCAUGAGCUAAUGGGAGCUCAGAGGAGCUGUGGGCAGCUCUUGUAUUGAAAGCCUAUUGAUGCUGGAGCAGUUGCAGGUCAGAACCUGUCUGGAGACCUGCUACACAACCCCUGCCCUCCACCCCAGCUCCCAUGUGAAGAGAGAGCACAAGGAAGAAGCAUGAGUGGAGUAUUUUUAUAACCUUCCCAAGCAGAGCAGCUCCUCCUGUGUCUUUUGGUCUCGAAGUGCCACGUGAUGCACACAUACAAGCUCCUUGGAAGAGGGUGGGCUUGACUAGGCUCUCCUCAGAGUUUGUUUUGGGUUAAUCCUCCUCUAAAGGCUUGGUUCCAGCUAUUGUUAUCUGUUCUGUACUUCAGAUUUGCAGUACUAGAAUGUUCAGGAUUCAAGGAAUGAUGAUGUUGCAUUUGUGAAGAGAUUGUUUUAACUGUGCAAAAGAUAAUUUUUCUGUCUUUUGGCCCAUCUAGACUUCUCUCUAGAAAAUGAGAGUCUACUUAGGAAUAAUGAGGGUCUUGAGUUACAGGAUUACAUGCUGGAUUUUUUUUCCUUGAACAGUGUUCUGCUUAAUUUCAGCAUACAGGAUGAUUCCACAAGGAAUUAUGACUGCAUGACUCCUGACAUCGUUGGGAUUGCCCAGCUGGCACACAAGUAGCCAUCAUUUACAUUUACACUUUAAAGUGUAUAAGGCUUUCAGCAUAUAGACUGAGAUAAGAAUGUAACUUGUUUGCACAAAGGAAGCAAAUUUCUGUUACUUGAUGUAGACUAGAUUCAGAGUAAAAAGCUUCAGUGUGACACAGAAGGAGAAAAACCCCCACAGCAGCCGUCCUCUGCACCCCUGCCUAAGUCUCUUCAGUGAUUUCACGGUGCGUGUUUGCUCCAGUUGGAUAUUGCCAAUGGCCGGGGCUCUGCACAUCAUCUUUGGGUAUUUCUGAUCUAAAGUCUCUCUGCUCUGUGUGCUUUGUUUCUUGGGCUGUGCACAAUGUCUUGCCCUGCACUCUCGCUUUUGCUGGCACAGCU
rnacentral:lncRNA from 1 species